rnacentral:lncRNA from 1 species
CCGCCGCCCAGCGCCCCGAGAUCGGGCCCUUCCCCGCGGGGCUCAGGCUCCAGGCCGGGAGCAGAGGGGGCGGGAAGGUCUGCUCCUGGCCGUGGCGUCAGUGUCCCUUCCUCCUGCCGCCGUUCGCCGCAGUGUGGGCGUGGACCCUGCGCUCGGAGCUCGUGCAGGCGGCCCUGUGCGAGCGCCACCCCCGCGCGGACAGCCAGGGUGGGGGGCGUGCCCCUUCCCUGCUAAGUCCGGGAAGCCAACUCAGUGACUUGAGCUGAGACUUAGGAGGCUGAGGGCCCGCACCCAGAUGUCAUGACUGUCGCCCUACCCGUGUCCCCCUGUGUCCACUUCUCUGAGUGCCCGUGACCCUUCCAUCUUUAGGGAAUGCGGUCUGCUGAGAGGGCCCAGGCGCUGGCGAGGAGCCGUGUGGGGGCUGCCUCCCCACCUCCUUGAAGCAGCCAUUGCUUAAUGAACUUCUUCCUGUGCCCUCUUCACACCCUCAUAAGGAAUCCUGCUUCACCACAGUGCGAAAGAAAAACCCUUCUCACACUGGACCAAACCGUUAUUGCAAACCGAAUUAAAGCCAAGUACCUUCGAUCCCAGAGGAGGCUCAGAGCACUGUGGGCCACCCUGUGGUUUCCAGCCCGCAGCCCUCGGGGCUCCGCAGGGUCUGAGGAAGGCAGUGUUCCUCUCAGGAAUUGUCGCGUUAAGAUUCGAGCUAGAACGUUCAUGCUCCGGCAGGCAGCGUUCAAUUUCUCGCCCUUCUCCAGGGCCAGCAGCCCCCGGCUGUGCUGUGGGCAGUUUUUCAGGGAGACCGUGCGUGCUUUAGGCUCUGGGUGGGGAGAACCAUCCAGACCGGUGCUUGGGCCUGGUCCCUGCGGGAAUGCUGGUGCUGUUCACAUGGCAGGAUAAACAUCCCAGGAGCCCAGUUGCUCUCACCCCAGGCCGCACAUGGCACGUCCUGGCAUCCCUGUUCCUCUCCCUCUGUGGAGCCCCCAGCUUCCCUGUGGCUGACGGGCAGCUGGCAUUGACCCCCUCUUCCUCUUCUUCACUCUUCCCUCUGACCCCCCUCAUCCUGCCAUGGUUUUCAUUUCCCCAGGUCCCAGGUGUGCAUACCUUCAGCAGGCCUUGGGGAAGAUGGCGACCCUGGGGUAUGGUCAGGAGCCCCCUCGUGUCCCGUCCCCUGUCAAUCUUGCAUCACCAGGGACACCUGGAACCCACCACCGCGAGGCCCGGCUUCACCUCCAAGGUCAUCAACACGGGAUGUGGAAGCCCAGACGUGAGCCAGUGGAGGCCAGUAGGAUUCAGAACACGUCAGUCUGACUCAAGCCCGGGGCCAUCAACCCUGCCUCCCCCCACCGGGCCCAGCAAGCCGUGGCUUGUGGUUCUUAACUGGCAGGACAUAGGACCGGGGAGGGGCUGUCCUGGAAGACAUGCUGACCCAGCCAGGUCUGCUGGACGAGAAGACUGGCCCCCAGGGUGCGGGUCCUCCAGCCCACGCAGAGUGGGGCUGCCCCUGAUCCAGCAAGAGCCUGAAGGCCGGGCUCGGUCCCCCGAGUUGCAGCCAUGUGCCCUCAAGUGCCCAGGGGCCCUGCCCAGUGAGGGACAGCGUGGGCUGCCGCCAACAGCUUCGGCACUCUCUGUACUUUUCAGAAACAGAGUGUGUGUGUGUGGGGGGGGGCUGCCCGCAAGGAAAACAACCAAGAUGGACCUUAAGAGGGGGUGGGGCCUCUGGCAGGCUCUGAAGGAGGAGGUGUGGCUGGAGGGUGACGGAGCCCAGGGAGGUCCAAGGGGCCAGAGGGAGGACAGGGGAUGCCUUCCACCCCUCCUCAUGGAGACCAGCCCAGCAGGGAGAGCUGGGCCCCGUGACCAAGGUGCUGUCCAGGGCAGAAGCUGCUCCUCGCAGUCUCUGGACCUCAUCGCCUUUGCUGACUCCACUGGCGGCGGCCCUGAGGCGCUCACCCAGCCACUGCAGGAGGAGGAGCUGUCCGGCCUGGAUCUCCGAGAUGUGGAGGAGGUCCAGAUUGGCAGAGACACCUGCCGGCCAGGUGAGCGAGCAGAACCUUCAUCCCGUCCCUGCCGAGGGCACUCACCAUGGCUGCCACGUGCCAGGCGCUCUGCAGCGCCCACCGCCUCGGGCACCGGCCCUGCCUUAGUGCUGGCUUCUGUCCUCGAUGGCCCUGCCCCGUUCAGUUCCCGUCUGUCACUGACAUUUCCCCAAGCUGUGAGUGCAGCCCACACCUCUUUCCCGAGCCCAGGGCUGUCGCCAGUCGGCAUCUCCUGCACAGCAGCACUCCCCGCCCAGGCCAGCAGCCAGGGGGUCAUCCUGGGUCCCCCUUCCCCACGUAGUGCCCUGGGCCUCCACGAGUCCCUUAAAUUAAGCUCUGGUCCCCAUCCCCUUCUCCCCACAGCCUGGCUGGGCUGCACUAAUUCAGGUCCUCAGCCCCUUGCCACACACACACCCCCCCCCGUGGAAGCCCUCGGGAUGCCCCCUUUGGGGUCUCUGCGCCCCCCAGGAGGUCCUCCCUGGAGCAGACCCUCCCUGCCACAGUGCCAGGAGAUCCCCGGGGCAGCAGGGGGACCAGACCAGGAGACGGUUGUGGAGUUCCUGGAGUGGCCCGGGCCUGCAGAGCGUCAGGGGAGGGGCCGCACCCCUGCGGGGAGCCUGGGCAGCACCCUUUGGAGCAGGGUGCUCUGCCG